CAACACGACUCUCGGCAACGGAUAUCUCGGCUCUCGCAUCGAUGAAGAACGUAGCAAAAUGCGAUACCUGGUGUGAAUUGCAGAAUCCCGCGAACCAUCGAGUUUUUGAACGCAAGUUGCGCCCGAGGCCUUCUGGUCGAGGGCACGUCUGCCUGGGCGUCAUG
rnacentral:rRNA from 1 species